GCGCGAGUGGUGGAAUUGGUAGACACGCAGGUUUUAGGUACCUGUGCCUUCGGGCGUAGGGGUUCAAGUCCCCUCUUGCGCACAA
rnacentral:tRNA from 2 species